rnacentral:lncRNA from 1 species
AGGAAAAAGAAAAUCAUGAGACGGUGGAAUAAAAGGAUAUCUAGAUUGAGUAAUGGGUGGGGCAUAUUCUGUGCCACAAUACUCAAUGUUUCGGCUUGUUGGAAAGAUUCAUUCUGUUGAUGCUGUAUAAGUUUUGCAGUCCAUUUAUUUUCCCCAACAGAAGUCGUCUGGAGCAACUAGUAAGUAUCUUUCCAAUUCACCUUCUACAAAUUUAUUGAGAUACUUGUUUAUCCUUGAAAAUAUAUGGUGCUGUUUUAUGUGCCUUCAACAUAGGCACAAGUGGUAUUUUGCUAUAAAGUCAUAGCGAUACAAUUCUCUCCUGUCAUGUAGCUUUGAAAUGAUUCCAAACAUGUACUCUGCUAUGUGAGCGAUAUAUGUUUUGCUGUGAUAAGAACUUGAAGUGUAUU